rnacentral:rRNA from 1 species
UCCAGGCCCUACGGGGUGCAGCAGUUAGGAAUAAUCUACAAUGCGCGCAAGCGUGAUAGUUUGAGCCAGAGUGUCUUUCAUUCGAAAGACUUUUAUGCACUGUAAAAAGGUGCAUGAAUAAGGACUGGGUAAGACUAGUGCCAGCCGCCGCGGUAAUACUAGCGGUCCAAGUCGCAGCCAUUUUUAUUGGGUCUAAAACAUCCGUAGCUUGCUUAAUAAGUUCCUUGUGAAAUUUCACAUCUCAAAUGUGGAGCGUGCGGGGAGUACUGUUAAGCUAGAGACUGGGAGACGUGAGAAGUACGUCCAAAGUAAUGGUAAAAUAUGUUAAUCUUGGGCGGGACUCACAAUAGCGAAGGCAUCUCACGAGAACAGUUCUGACAGUAAGGGAUGAAGGCUAGGGGCGCAAAACGGAUUAGAUACCCGUGUAGUCCUAGCAGUAAACACUGCACACUAAACAUCAGUAUCUCCUCGAGAGGUAUUGGUGCUGCAGGGAAGCCGAAGAGUGUGCUACCUGGGAAGUAUAGUCGCAAGGCCGAAACUUAAAGGAAUUGGCGGGGAGACACUACAACGAGUGACGCGUGCGGUUCAAUUAGAUUAUACACCGUGAACCUCACCAGGAGCGACAGCAGGAUGAAGGUCAGUCUGAAGGGCUUACCUGACACGCUGAGAGGAGCUGCAUGGCCGACGUCAGCCUGUGCCGUGAGGUGACCUGUUAAAUCAGGUAACAGGCAAGACCCACAUCCAUAUUUACUACGUGUACAAUAUGGAGAUUGCCUUGGUAACGAGGAUGAAAGUGUGGGCUACGUUAGGUGAGUACAGCCCAAAUCCCCUGGGCGACACGCGCGCGUCAAUGGUGGAUACAACGAGAUGCGACUCCGAAAGGAGAAGCUAAUCUCUUAAAGUCCAUCUUAGUCUAGAUCGAGGUUUGUAACUCAGCCUCGUGACACUGGAAUUCGUAGUAAUCGUUUGUUAGCAGCGAACGGUGAAUAUGUCACUGUCUCUUGCACACACCGCCCGUC